GUCCAAUACAUAUCUGAUUUCAGAUGGAAUCUUAUCUCACUGAGCAAAUUAGAUUCGAGAAGUUACAGGACAAUAGCUAGUGGAGAAAUCCUAAAGAUAUUGUACAGCGAUAGGGUUAUUUUGGAGGAAAAGAAGAGGACGAGAGGAUAUUACUAUCUGAUGGAGAGCCUAGUACGAGAUGGAGCUUUAGAAGCCAAGAGAAGCCCAGAGUGAGGUGGAGCUCCAAGUGGAGGUG
rnacentral:lncRNA from 1 species